rnacentral:rRNA from 1 species
ACAUGCCUAUAUCAUAGUGUUAGUGCACCAGAUUCCAUUAGAACUCCGUAAAAACACACUUAGGCUAGAGUAGUACUGGGAUGGGUGACCACCUGGGAAGUCCUAGUAUUUUACAAGCC